rnacentral:rRNA from 1 species
UAAGCUAGUAAGACCCCUUAAAGACGAUAAGGUUGAUAGGCCGGGGAUGGAAGUGCAGCGAUGCAUGGAGUUGACCGGUACUAAUAGGUCGAGGACUUGAUCAG